AGGAUGAACGCUGGCGGCGUGCCUAAGACAUGCAAGUCGAGUGGGUUUAGACCCACGGCGAACGGGUGAGUAAUACCUAGGAAUGUAUCUUUAGUUGAGGAUAUCCCACCGAAAGGUGGAGCAAUACUCAAUGUGAACGCAAGUUUAAAGUCGCAAGACGCUAAAGAAGCAGCCUGGGCACCAUCAGCUAGUUGGUAAGGUAAAAGCUUACCAAGGCUAUGACGGUUAGGGGUCCCGAGAGGGAUAACCCCCACACUGGAACUGCGACACGGUCCAGACUCCUACGGGAGGCAGCAGUUUGGAAUUUUGGACAAUGGGCGAAAGCCUGAUCCAGCGACGCCGCGUGGACGAUGAAGGCCUUCGGGUUGUAAAGUCCUUUUGCUCGGGAACAAUUUUUGAGCGUACCGAGAGAAUAAGAGGUUGCUAACUCUGCGCCAGCAGCCGC
rnacentral:rRNA from 1 species